rnacentral:rRNA from 1 species
GACGAACGCUGGCGGCGUGCUUAACACAUGCAAGUCGAGCGGUAAGGCCCUUUCGGGGGUACACGAGCGGCGAACGGGUGAGUAACACGUGGGUGACCUGCCCUUAGCUCUGGGAUAAGCCUGGGAAACUGGGUCUAAUACCGGAUAUGACUCCAUGACGCAUGUUGUGGGGUGGAAAGCCUUGUGCGGCUAGGGAUGGGCCCGCGGCCUAUCAGCUUGUUGGUGGGGUGAUGGCCUACCAAGGCGACGACGGGUAGCCGGCCUGAGAGGGCGACCGGCCACACUGGGACUGAGACACGGCCCAGACUCCUACGGGGGCAGCAGUGGGGAAUCUUGCGCAAUGGGCGAAAGCCUGACGCAGCGACGCCGCGUGA